rnacentral:rRNA from 1 species
UACGUAGGGUGCAGGCGUUAAUCGGAAUUACUGGGCGUAAAGCGUGCGCAGGCGGUUUCUUAAGUCAGAUGUGAAAGCCCCGGGCUUAACCUGGGAACUGCGUUUGAAACUGGGAGACUUGAGUGUGGCAGAGGGGGGUGGAAUUCCACGUGUAGCAGUGAAAUGCGUAGAGAUCGGAAAGAACACCCGUGGCGAAGGCGGCGGCCUGGGACCAGACUGACACUGAGGUGCGAAAGCAUGGGGAGCAAACAGG